rnacentral:rRNA from 1 species
UACGUAGGGUGCAAGCGUUGUCCGGAAUUAUUGGGCGUAAAGAGCUCGUAGGCGGUCUGUCGCGUCGGCUGUGAAAACCCGGGGCUCAACCCCGGGCCUGCAGUCGAUACGGGCAGACUAGAGUGCGGUAGGGGAGACUGGAAUUCCUGGUGUAGCGGUGAAAUGCGCAGAUAUCAGGAGGAACACCGGUGGCGAGGGCGGGUCUCUGGGCCGAUACUGACGCUGAGGAGCGAAAGCGUGGGGAGCGAACAGG